UUCCUACGGGGGGCAGCAGUGGGGAAUAUUGCACAAUGGGGGAAACCCUGAUGCAGCGACGCCGCGUGAGUGAAGAAGUAUCUCGGUACGUAAAGCUCUAUCAGCAGGGAAGAAAAAAAGUCCUUUGGACUUUGGACGGUACCUGACCAAGAAGCCCCGGCUAACUACGUGCCAGCAGCCGCGGUAAUACGUAGGGGGCAAGCGUUAUCCGGAUUUACUGGGUGUAAAGGGAGCGUAGGCGGCCUGCCAAGUCUGAUGUGAAAUACCGGGGCUCAACCCCGGGGCUGCAUUGGAAACUGGCAGGC
rnacentral:rRNA from 1 species